rnacentral:rRNA from 1 species
AGAGUUUGAUCCUGGCUCAGGACGAACGCUGGCGGCGUGCCUAACACAUGCAAGUCGAGCGGGAACCUCAGGAGGGGUAACCCUUCUGAGGGGAGAGCGGCGAACGGGUGAGUAACACGUGGGCAACCUGCCCCGGACACCGGGAUAACCCAGGGAAACCUGAGCUAAUACCGGAUACUCCGGCGCGAUCGCAUGGUCGUGCCGGGAAAGCUCCGACGGUCCGGGAUGGGCCCGCGGCCUAUCAGCUUGUUGGUGGGGUAACGGCCCACCAAGGCGACGACGGGUAGCUGGUNUGAGAGGACGGCCAGCCACACUGGGACUGAGACACGGCCCAGACUCCUACGGGAGGCAGCAGUGGGGGAUCUUGCGCUAAUGCGCGAAAGCGUGACGCAGCGACGCCGCGUGGGGGAUGAAGGCCUUCGGGUUGUAAACCCCUUUCGGCAGGGACGAAGGGAAACUGACGUACCUGCAGAAGA